UACGUAGGGUGCGAGCGUUUGUCCGGAAUUAUUGGGCGUAAAGAGCUCGUAGGCGGUGUGUCACGUCGGCCGUGAAAACCUGCAGCUUAACUGUGGGCGUGCGGUCGAUACGGGCAUCACUGGAGUUCGGCAGGGGAGACUGGAAUUCCUGGUGUAGCGGUGAAAUGCGCAGAUAUCAGGAGGAACACCGGUGGCGAAGGCGGGGUCUCUGGGCCGAUACUGACGCUGGAGGAGCGGAAAAGCGUGGGGGAGCGAACAGG
rnacentral:rRNA from 1 species